GACAGAGGGUGCAAACGUUGCUCGGAAUCACUGGGCAUAAAGCGCACGUAGGCGGUCCACUAAGUUCGAUGUGAAAUCCCCCGGCUCAACCGGGGAACUGCAUCGGAUACUGGUGGACUCGAGAGUUGUAGGGGUGGACGGAACUCCAGGUGGAGCGGUGAAAUGCGUAGAUAUCUGGAGGAACACCGGAGGCGAAAGCGGUCCACUGGGCAACUUCUGACGCUGAGGUGCGAAAGCUAGGGUAGCAAACGGG
rnacentral:rRNA from 1 species